GAUGAACGCUAGCGGCAGGCCUAAUACAUGCAAGUCGAGGGGCAGCAGGAAUAGCAAUAUUUGCUGGCGACCGGCGCACGGGUGCGUCACACGUAUACACUCUGCCUUCUACAGGGGGAUAGCCUUUCGAAAGAGAGAUUAAUACCCCAUAACACAAGAAAUAGCAUUAUUUUUUGUUGAAAGAUCCGUCGGUAGAAGAUGAGUAUGCGGGUGAUUAGCUAGUUGGUGAGGUAACGGCUCACCAAGGCAACGAUCACUAGGGGAUCUGAGAGGACUACCCCCCACACUGGUACUGAGACACGGACCAGACUCCUACGGGAGGCAGCAGUAAGGAAUAUUGGACAAUGGAGGCAACUCUGGUCCAGCGAUGCCGCGUGUAGGAUGAAGGCCCUAUGGGUCGUAAACUGCUUUUGUACGAGAGAAAACCUAUUUACGUGUAGAUAGUUGAUAGUAACGGAAGAAUAAGGAUCGGCUAACUUCGUGCCAGCCGCCGCCGUAAAAC
rnacentral:rRNA from 1 species